CUGUGGAGAACACUAUAACCCCUAUGGGAGACAACAUGGCGCCUCGCAAGACCCAGACAGGGUACAGUUUCCUUGCCUUCACUCAGACAUGUUGGUGAUCUGGGGAAUAUUGUGGCUGGACCAGACGGCCGAGCCUCAUUCAGACUAGAGGACCCUUAGCUAAAGGUGUGGGGUGUGAUUGGUCGUUCUCUGGUGGUGGAUGCUGGGGAGGAUGACCUAGGAAGGGGUGGUCACCCCCUCUCCAAACUGACCGGGAACUCCGGACAGAGAAUGCCAAGCAGAUCUGUGCGUGUGACGUGGUGACACUAUGGGAGGAGAGUGACCGACCGCUGGCCGGAACGGGCCGCAGCAAGACCACCACAGAGACACCUGGCGCUCACCUGUGAUGCCAGAUGCCUAGGUCAUAUUCAUUAAUGCACAAUGUAGCAAAACGUUUUGCAACAAAAACUGAAAAUGAGAUCUCAUUGGAUAAGUCCAGGUUAUCUGUUCAUGUGUUCUGUUUUUUGCCUUGUGAGAAUUACCCUGAAUGGUGAACAUCACUGACUGUCGUUGAUGAUGUCGCACACUGACUGAAACUGCACUGAGAGAGUGGGAGACAGGGACAGUGGGAGAGAGGUUAAGGAGAGUGAGGAGGAGGAGGAGAGAUCAAAGAAUUGUCUGUUCAGCAGUCAUCUUCCUUUUUAUUGAGAUGCCAUAUCGAAUUCUUCUGAGACCGGAACCUUUCAUGACAGACUAAAGAAACACAACAGGAAUAGGAUGUAUGUUCUUAUUUCAAGCCAAAACAUCCCAUGCUGACUAUUCUGUUGUAGUUGACUAAUUUGAAUAGUUUUGUAAUAUUAAUGUGGAUGUUGUCAUUCUAUGUUUGAUCACAAUUUUGAUACUUAUCUCAAGUGUUCUACUUUGUAAAUAUCAGUACCUCCAAGGGAGAUUGUGGUUUACCUCCCAAAUGUAGUAUGAUUUUAUCAAAAUAUUUGUAACAAGUGUUGUAGAGAUUUUUUGUUGUUACUUUUCUCAGUCAGACUUGUAAUAAAAGGCACCAGUUGCCCUUUGGACUGAGCGAAACCUGUAUAUGAAUUGAUAAAUGACUG